rnacentral:rRNA from 1 species
AGAGUUUGAUCCUGGCUCAGGAUGAACGCUGGCGGCGUGCUUAACACAUGCAAGUCGAACGAAGCACUCUAUUUGAUUUUCUUCGGAAAUGAAGAUUUUGUGACUGAGUGGCGGACGGGUGAGUAACGCGUGGGUAACCUGCCUCAUACAGGGGGAUAACAGUUGGAAACGACUGCUAAUACCGCAUAAGCGCACAGGAUCGCAUGAUCCGGUGUGAAAAACUCCGGUGGUAUGAGAUGGACCCGCGUCUGAUUAGCCAGUUGGCAGGGUAACGGCCUACCAAAGCGACGAUCAGUAGCCGACCUGAGAGGGUGACCGGCCACAUUGGGACUGAGACACGGCCCAAACUCCUACGGGAGGCAGCAGUGGGGAAUAUUGCACAAUGGGGGAAACCCUGAUGCAGCGACGCCGCGUGAGCGAAGAAGUAUUUCGGUAUGUAAAGCUCUAUCAGCAGGGAAGAAGAAUGACGGUACCUGACUAAGAAGCACCGGCUAAAUACGUGCCAGCAGCCGCGGU